CUCUAAGCCGUUUUCCUUCCUGAGGAGCCUUUGGCUGUUUGGCUGGAUGCUUCAAUUUAACAAGGAGGAGUUGCAGUCUGUUUAACCAGGUAAAGCUUUCUGUUGCUUUGGAAACCACAAUAUCACAUUUCUUACUCUCCUUGGCAAAAAGCUGGAGUUUUUAGUGCUGUAAGACUUUUUUCUAAGAAACUCAAACACACCUUAAAAAAUGUAAAAAUUACUGGAAUACUAGCAGGGCUUUCUUAGUCAUGAAAAACUGAAGCAAUGCCCUGAAAGAUAUAGGGGGCUUUCAGGAAUACAUUAAGCUUGCCGGCAUGCCAGCCCUGAGAAAAACGUUAACAAUUAUAAUUUUUUAGUCAUUCAAGGUAUAGAAGACACUACAGAGAACAAAACUGGUAAAUUCCCCUCUCCCCUUCUGGUGGGGAAAGCAAAUUAAUAACUCAAAUACACAGCAUUUCAUAUAAAUGCCAUAAAUAAAAGUAAACUAGGAGUAGAGGAAAGUAUGUGCACGGUUUUUGCUUUGUUUUCUUUCAUCUACAGGGCUCACCGAGAAACUGGCCCAUGAACAAAGACCUGAGCAGGAGAAAGCACACAUGGAUAUGAGGAGCACUCAGGAAGAGGGAAAACAAUCCCAAAAACCCGAGAUGGAGAGAGGCCAGCGUGGUUGGAGACGUGAACUCUGUCUGGGAGGUGAGCUGCCCAGUGUCAGUCCCUGGGACACAGGGCUCAGCGUGAUGGGAGUGCCAGCAGCAGCUGAGUGCUCGUGCCCUGCAGGAUGGAGAUCCACUCCGACAAAGCCUCCAGACCCCCCCACAUUCCACACCACAGAACUCUCUCAAAAAACUUCAGAGAAGCAGGAACAACAACUUGGUAUUCAAUGAAAAUACCUCACAAAUAAAUAUCUGCAAACACUUUGUAAAGUCA
rnacentral:lncRNA from 1 species